GUUAGUCUCUAAGGUGCCACAAGUACUCCUUUUCUUUUUGCGGAUACAGACUAACACGGCUGCUACUCUGAAACCUUGGAAAGCUAGUAUCAAUAAUGUUUUUCAUAGAUUGGACACUGGAGGGUGCUAACGCAAUGGGAGCUGAAAUUAUCCUAGGAAAUUAAAAGGUUCUCCCUGAAUAGUUUGGUACUUUGUUGCAACAUUUAUGUGAACAUGUAUAAAGUAAUUCCUCACUGGCAGCAAAUUUUGUUGAUACGUAUUGUUUUUACAAUCUUAACUGAGGGCAUCAGUGAGGUGAUAAGAGUAUCUGUGCAGAUGAGGUAUCCCUUUCCUAACUCUUUAGUGAAAAUAACUAGUUCUGGGUUUUUCAGAUUUUAAAAAUGUUCUGUUCAAGAUUCUGGGAUGAAUUGUGUUUGCAAGUGUGACUUUCUAAUGGCAAAAACAUUUUAAACUGGCAAAACAGAGAAUAUUCACUUUAUACCAUGUUAUUUUGAUCCAUUUAAAUUAAUUUUAUCACAAACUGGAGAUGGUAAAAGCCACAUAAUGGUUCAUUUUGGGGGAAAUAUUUUUUAAACAGCUGUAAAUACCAGUAAUGGUCCUGAUCCUUUAACUCUAUUUUUGUGCAUGGAUCUUUGUGCCUCUGUGGAGCCAACUGAAGUCAAGACACAAAGGGCCUGCCCAGUUGGAUCCAGUUGCAGGACCGGCACAAGUAUUAGUAAUGAAGAUGCACAGAAUUAUGACAUUGUUCAAUAUAUUCAGCAGUGAUGAGUAGAGGAAUUCUCCUUCUGACCCACUCCCAGUCUUUGUAUGGAUAACAUACUGUGGUCAUAUGUUUGAAUCAAGCUUCACUUUAAGACUUAAACUAGUCAUUACGAGUGGGAAAGUUCCUUGCACCUGGGAAAUUAGGAGAGCAGCAGCAAGAGACAUGUCCGCAUCCUUUCCCUGGUGGUUCUUCACCUGUGAAUGUGAACUGUGGUGGUAAUAAAAGUUUUCUGGACCUCAUUUUAUGUGAGACCAUUAAGCAACAUGAGAAUUUGAGACUAACUACCUUUCAUAUUUCAGGACACUGAAAGGUGCCAUUUAUAAGUUUAAAGUGCCUGCAGGAAGCCAAAACAGGCUUGUAAACUUAAACUCUAGACUCCAGAAGGUAACAUGUUUGUAGUGUGGGCUACAUACUUAGCUUAUCAAAAUUGCAAAUGUGCUUUAUGGGUUUUUUUUUAAAUUGAAAAACAUCUGCCAAUAAAAAGCUAUAUCUGCUUUUUAUACUUCUCACUGGUGUUGUUGCUAUCUCUUAUGUCACAGAAAAGACAUGAUUGUGAAUGGCCCUGCUAUAAACCCUAAAUUGCUGUUACAGCACCAGCUGCCAGAGCCUAGGGCCUGUUAUCAUUCUCAUUAUAACCUACUAUUUUGCUGAGCUACUAAUUUAGCUAUUCAGAUUUGUUUCUGAAAGAUGGGGAGGAAGUUGAUCUGUUUAGGAAUAUUUUGCAAUCUUGAAGCUGCUUAUAUGAGGUGGCCUUUUUGUAUUAAAUAUCUCAAGCUUUUUUAUUGUUUGAAAACUAACAGUGUAUGUAUAACAUUUUCAAUGAUUUAAGUAUGAUUUCUGUAUUAGUAUUGACAAUGGUCUGCAGUAGAGCAAAAUACUAAGAAGUUAAAUGUCUGUCCAUGCAAUAGACUCUAAUGAUUCUAAAGUAGUGAGCACAGUCUACUGAAUAAAGAAUAUUCUGAGUUUUUGUAAGUGAAUUUAGAGACCAUGAAAGGUGCUAGAAUGGCAGCCAAGGGAAACUGAAGUUAGCUAUUUGUUUACAGAACAGGUACAGCUUUCCCCACCGAGCUCAACCAUUAUACUUCAACCCAGACCUUGUGGGUGAUAUCACCUCUAGAAUAUGAUGGAAACUUGUUCUUGCCCUGUGCUAAGCCCCUCUCUGGGACUGUCAGUUUUGAUGGUGAUUUUUGUGAUUUGAUCCAUUGAGCCCAAAAUUUCAAAAUGCCUAAAAUUAGGCACUUGAAUCUAUAUUUAUCACUUAAAUAAGUGGGCCAUUUUUCAUAAGUGAUGGGAACUUAGAAUUCCCAUUAAUUGUAAUUGACUACUCUCAGCUUCCAUUGACUGGAUUGAGAUUCCUCAUGGAGUAAAGUUACUCAAAUGCAUGUUUAUAGGCUCAGACUCGAAAUUUCAUGGACAACAGGAGGCCUGCACAGGCGUAACUGGGAAUAGAAUUUGGCAUUUAUAAUCUUUAUUCUAAUUUUCUAAGUGCAAGGGGUUAAGUAAAUACUUAGAUGAGUCUGCCUGAUUUAAAAUAAGGGUGAUUAUGAAUACUUUUGUCAGCAGUUACUGAUGGGGGUAUUUCUAAAAUAAAAUAAUUCAAUGUGUAAACCAGUGUCUAAGGAUAUAAUUCUUCUAAAGGGUCUCAAUAUUAAAAACAAUAAUGAUUCAGAAAUUAUUUUCUCACUAUGCUCUGUCUUCCUGGAAUUUUUCUGUUACAUAGGUUAAUCCACUUGGUCCCCAAUCCUGCAUUGAGCUGGAUUUUUGAAGAGCUGAUCGCAGGAUUUAGACCUUGAUAUCUCCUUUUAAAAGGCAGUUGUGCAACUGUUUGUUAGAACCAGCUGCUUUGAUGCUGUAGAUACGUUGCUAGUUGACAAGAUUAAAAUUAUUUUUCUUUAUGGUCAGACUGUGUUACCCUUACUCAUGUUGGGUAGUACCUUACUCUUUACAAGUUGACUCAUUGACUUAUGUGGACUACUCAGUGUUUCAUAUGAAUAUCAUAAUCUGCCUCUCAGUGUGUUGGCUUUUCAGUAUUUUGUAAGAACAUGUAUAUGGUAGCUGACUUGCAGAGACACAAAAAAAAAUCUAUAUUUUCCUUGUAAAAUAAGUACAAUUUCUAGAUGGCAUUUAAUAAAUAAUU